CAUGGAGACUGCAUGUUUACAGGUCAUUCUAAGUGCUAUGCUAGCAUGGAGACUGCAUGUUUACAGGUCAUUCUAAGUGCUAUGCUAGCAUGGAGACUGCAUGUUUACAGGUCAUUCUAAGU